rnacentral:lncRNA from 1 species
AAAUAUUUAAAUAUUUUUGGUGAAAGUACCAUAUUUUUUGAAUUAAAAAUGAAAUUAGUAUGAAUUAAUCAAAAUAAACGGAUUAAACAAAAAAAAUCAGAAAAUAAAAAAAACAAGGGCCAUCAUAUCUCCCUAAUUAAUUAAGGUGGAAGAUCUGAUGGCCAAGCGCAUGCAUUCCACGAUGAACUGCAAUCAACGCGUUGCAAACUUGGUAUUCAAAAUUAAAGGCCAUGAUUAAAAUAAUUUAAACAUAUCUGAUGGUUGAGAGGCGUGACAACACAC